rnacentral:rRNA from 1 species
AGUGAACGCUGGCGGUAGGCCUAACACAUGCAAGUCGAACGGCAGCACAGUAAGAGCUUGCUCUUACGGGUGGCGAGUGGCGGACGGGUGAGGAAUACAUCGGAAUCUACUUUUUCGUGGGGGAUAACGUAGGGAAACUUACGCUAAUAUCGCAUACGACCUACGGGUGAAAGCAGGGGAUCUUCGGACCUUGCGCGAUUGAAUGGGCCGAUGUCGGAUUAGCUAGUUGGCGGGGUAAAGGCCCACCAAGGCGACGAUCCGUAGCUGGUCUGAGAGGAUGAUCGGCCACACUGGAGGUGAGACACGGUCCAGACUCCUACGGGAGGCAGCAGUGGGGAAUAUUGGACAGUGGGCGCAAGCCUGAUCCAGCCAUACCGCGUGGGUGAAGAAGGCCUUCGGGUUGUAAAGCCCUUUUGCUGGGAAAGAAAAGCAGCAGGUUAAUACCCCGCUGUUCUGACGGUACCCAAAGAAUAAGCACCGGCUAACUUCGUG